rnacentral:tRNA from 1 species
GUUCUCGUAGUGUAAUGGUCAACACGAUGCGCUUUCAUCGCAUAGACGCAAGUUCGAUUCUCGCCGGGAACACCA